CAAAAACCACAGUAGAACAGAUCAACGAAACUAGGACCACAUGGAAGAACCAGAGCAGUGCCAGCACUCACUACGCAACUUGCUUACAACAAGCCCCCCACACACACACACACUCCAGUGGAACCACCACUUCCAGUCACGCUUGGCUCACUCCCAGCAAAGUGGGCUCCCUCCCCAGGAAGACUGGGCCAAACCCCUCUUUACAGUGUGUCUCCCAACUCAGAAGUUUUGCAGAGCCUCAGUUUUGGUGCCAGUGGUGACAGGUCUUAUCUCACAAACAGACCAGAGCACACCUAGCUAAAAUGAGCCAUAUUCAGGCCACGGACAAAACACUGCCCACUACAGGCAAAGAGAGCCCCUGCAGAUGACUGGCCUGAAGGAUAAAGUGGCCAGGAUAAAACAGCAGAGCAUAUACAGCGCAUGGUAAAGACAAUCCCAGAAGCCCCAGGCCCUGGAGAACAGAGGACCACUACAUGGCAGGACACUACAGCACCUCUUCUUUUUAAGGCCAUUAUCUUCAGGAGACAUAGGUCCUUACAGGAAUUAUAACUGCCUUACCUAAUA